rnacentral:sRNA from 1 species
AGGUGCUUGCCUUAGAGCAAGGGAAACAGCUCUGAUUCAAAGGAACUAGAAGCCUCUCCCUCAGUGUUCCUCCUGCUGUCCUAUGACCUUUUUGUCAAUUCCUUCUCAGAACUGCUCCGAAAGGCUCCUGUCAUCCAGCUUGUGCUCUUCAUCAUCCAGGAUAUUGCAGUCCUCUUCAACAUCAUCAUCAUUUUCCUCAUGUUCUUCAACACCUUCGUCUUCCAGGCUGGCCUGGUCAACCUCCUAUUCCAUAAAUUCAAAGGGACCAUCAUCCUGACAGCUGUGUACUUUGCCCUCAGCAUCUCCCUUCAUGUCUGGAUCAUGAACUUACGCUGGAAAAACUCCAACAGCUUCAUAUGGACAGAUGGACUUCAAACGCUGUUUGUAUUCCAGAGACUAGCGGCAGUGUUGUACUACUACUUCUAUAAACGGACAGCCGUAAGACUAGGCGACCCUCGCUUCUACCAGGACUCUUUGUGGCUGCGCAAGGAGUUCAUGCAAGUUCGAAGGUGACCUCUUGUCACACUGAUGGAUACUUUUCCUUCCUGAUAGAAG